UAAUUAAAAUAAUGGAAACACCUGACAUUUAACUUUUAUUAUAGCAAAUAGCAUUUGACCAUGCACAACAAAAUAUUUUCCGAACCUCCAUGUAUUAUACAAAUUUAUAAUCAGAUCUUGGUCUCAUUUUUUUUCCACAUAAAGUAAAUGCCAACUAAUGGCCAGUCAAGCAAAUUACACUUGUCCCUAGUACAACCUACAAGAGACACAAGUGGAGGCAUGCAUGCAAGCCUAACCACGCAUGCAUGCAGAUGUAAUGCCUCUCCAAACCGACAUAGCUACUAACCCCGCUAUAAAUAGGAGCCAUUCCUUUCACUGUGGUCCAUUCCACCUCACACACACACAUACACUGGAGUACCACCACCACUUGCCUUUUCACCUUCUGCCACACUGCUGUCCUUCACUGCGGUGAAGCCCUUUGGGUCGCAUGCGCCAUCAGAACAAGAGAGUUAUGAGAACUCUGAGGUGAUAGAGAAUGGUACUUAUGAUGAAUCUGGUCAUCUUAAUGACUUCGGUUAUUCUAAAGUGGAGUAUGUUUAUGAGGAAGUCGACAAUCAAGGCUAUGAAGAGUAGAUGCCCUCCAUGGUUGGUUUAGAAGGCACGUAACUAGAAGUGGAUGACGAUCUAUCGUCAUGGUCGCUUAGGCUUAGUCGACACUUGAGGUGUCAAUGUAAUAAAAGCUUGCCUACUCAUGGCAGCUGCACCGUCUUGUACAUGAUACUGUUCUCCUUAA